rnacentral:tRNA from 1 species
UCCCUGAGAGCUCAGACGGUAAAGAAUCUGCCUGCAAUGCAGGAGACCCAGGUUCAAUUCCUGGGUUGGGAA